rfam:Gossypium raimondii scaffold_1022_contig_2, whole genome shotgun sequence.
UGGUGCGAUCAUACUAGCACUAAUGCACCGGAUCGCAUUAGAACUCCGCAGUUAAGCGUGCUUGGUUGAGAGUAGUACUAGGAUG